AUGCAUCACAUCGCCACUAUAAAACGCGCACCCUUGACCCCGUCGGAAACCCAUCGUUCUGCCGCCGCGACCGGGAUGGCGUACCGCCGGAAGCCGCAGUCCUCCUUCGAGCACCACCACCACCCGCAGCCCGUUAGCCCUCCCUCCCCGCCGCAGGACUCCCUCGCCGCGCAGGCCAUGCGCGCCUCUGCCGCCCACCGGGACGCCUCUUCUAUCUCCUCCGCAUACUCCUCCUCGGCUGCCUCCGCGGCCGCCGCCGCUCGCAGGAGCCACGAGCCCUCCGUCUCCACCCCUUCCCCUNNNNNNNNNNNCUAUGGGUACACGUCCAUGAAGAGCUUGAACGAGGCCAAGUACGGAUUUUGGGGGACGCUUGCUCGGAAAGCAAAGUCACUUAUUGACGAGGAUGGGUCGCCGGGGCAAUAUGAUUCCCCGACGAGACAGCAGCCGCCAAGAGAUGGUACAUCACCAGCUAUCCAUAGACAACACUUGCAACAGCCAGCGCCAGAGACAUGGAAAUCCGAGACACCUCCAUCUCAGAAGAGGUCCGAGGCAUUAGCUUCCUCCCUUAACUAUAUUGGAGGCACAAUAAAGAGUGCCCUCGAAGAAGGUCGGAUUAUUGUAGAGACUAAAACAGCUGACAUUAUUCAGGAGACGCGUAAACUGAAUAUAAGGCGGAAAGGAGCUGGAUCAAAUCCACAAGGAGAAACUUCUCACAAAUUUGCUCACAGAAAUUUUCCUCAAAAUCCACUCGAUUACGAAACUCAGUUGAAGGCAUCUCGCGACGUUGCAAAUGCCAUGUCAGCAAAAGCAAAGCUGCUAUUACGUGAACUGAAGACUGUGAAGGCAGAUUUAGCUUUUGCGAAGGAGCGCUGUGCUCAGCUUGAGGACGAGAAUAAAAUGUUGCGAGAAAAUCAAGACAAUGGUGAUAACCCAGAAGAUGAUGAUCUGAUCCGCCUACAAUUAGAGACACUAUUAGCCGAGAAGGCGCGGCUUGCACAUGAAAACUCGGUGUAUGCUCGAGAAAAUAGAUUCCUACGUGAAAUUGUAGAGUAUCACCAACUUACUAUGCAAGAUGUCAUAUAUGUGGAUGAAGGCAUCGAAGAGGUCACUGAGGUGUACCCUACUCAAGUACUGCCUCCAGCGUCUGCUCGCAAUGGGUCGGGCCUAGGUCGCGCAUCUACUCCAGUGACACUUAAACAUAUUAACUCAUCUCCGGCCUCCACAUCUGCCCUUCCGGAACCUUGUCUGAUCGUGCCAGUUUCUCCGAAGACGCUUUCUCGGGCUUCAUCUCAAAGCAAAUAG
rnacentral:rRNA from 1 species